UCGCAUGGCUAAGUAGUAGCGCCGCAGGUGAAAGUAAAUAUAUUGAAUCCACCCGCGAUCUACUGCUUAACAAUGACG
rnacentral:pre_miRNA from 1 species